rnacentral:rRNA from 1 species
GACGAACGCUGGCGGCGUGCCUAAUACAUGCAAGUCGAACGCUGAAGGAGGAGCUUGCUUCUCUGGAUGAGUUGCGAACGGGUGAGUAACGCGUAGGUAACCUGCCUGGUAGCGGGGGAUAACUAUUGGAAACGAUAGCUAAUACCGCAUAAUAGUAGAUGUUGCAUGACAUUUGCUUGAAAGUUGCAAUUGCAUCACUACCAGAUGGACCUGCGUUGUAUUAGCUAGUUGGUGAGGUAACGGAUCACCAAGGCAACGAUACAUAGCCGACCUGAGAGGGGGAGCGGCCACACUGGGACGGAGACCCGGCCCAGACGGCCUCGGGAGGCAGCCGGAGUGCAACGUCAGGCAGGGACGGAAGACUGAGCGCGAAACGCCGAGGGAGGGAAGAAGGGUGUCGGAUCGGAAAGGUCGGUUGUAAGAGAAGAACGAGCGUGAGAGUGGAACGUUCACACUGUGACGGUAGCUGACCAGAAAGGGACGGCUAACUACGUG